rnacentral:rRNA from 1 species
AGAGGAUGGCACAGGUGAUGCAAGGAACCUACGACCUGUUUGCAGCGAAGAAGGUGAGGGGGAGCAGCCGCGCAUGUAAUGGCCAGUGGAGGGCGGCCAGGGAAGGCGGCGGCGGUGUUUUCGUGCGGCGAGGUCGCCGUCCAGGAAGGCGAAGGCGAUGAUGUUUCUGAGCGGCAAGGGGAUAUCCGUGGGGUGUGUUUCUUGUUUUUGGAUUUGAAAGGUCUAUUAUUAUUUGUGGUAAUGGGGGAUACGUGUUUGAAUUUGUUUGGAAGACCUACGUGAUUGUAGGGAUUGUUUUUGCUUUCGCAUGGAAGUUUUCCUCCGCGGUGGAGUAUGGUCAGUCAACAUAAAUUAGUAAGUGCACACCAGAAAACAUAUCAGGUGAAGGCUAGCCGUUGGAUUUAGAUAAGUGGGGAUAAUCCUGUGGUAGUAUUGGGUCCGUGUAUGUUUUGUGGGGUGCGUUUAGCAAAGAUAAUGUUUGCUCUUUU